CACAGGUGCAAAGAACAAACCCUUUCUCCAAGAACAGUUACUCUCUGACACCCAUCAGAACAAGGCUAUUUGGAAGUCAUCUCGAAACAGAGGAGAAGAGGAGCGAGCAAGCCACUGAGCUGCCUGCUGGAUGGACUUUGGUUGCUUUUGCACAUACAGAUCAAAAGCCUCCUGAGCAGUUAACCCUCAGCAAGGGAGCGACUCCUACAAACAGAGAGGAUUUGGCAAAAGGGAGUGAGCCCUGCGUGCAAAUGCUUUGCCUUUAUCAGCACUGGAGAUUUCUAGUCGCCUCUAUAAAUAUCCUAAAGAUGAGCUUUGGCUCCACUCUGAAAACAGCCCUGGGACCUACAAGCCAUCUUAACCUGCAGGGGGUAAGGUUCCCCAGAC
rnacentral:lncRNA from 1 species